rnacentral:rRNA from 2 species
UGGUUCAUGACUGGGGUGAAGUCGUAACAAGGUAGCGCUAGGGGAACCUGGCGCUGGAUCACCUCCUUA